AAAAUUAUAAAAGUGAACAAUUAAACUAUCGCAACUAUUUCUCUUUGUUAAGAAAAUUAUAUAUAUAUUCCGGGCCUGAGGUAUAUUAUUCACACUUCAAAAAUUAAUUCGGGAUUUAAUUAAAUAAUUCCGUCACGAUUAAGUACCGGCCCAAAGAUUUAUUUAAAAGCCCCAAAGCUUAAUUACUUCCCCACCUUAUACAUCCAUAUAAAAUUUUAAGGCAUAAAGAUUUAAAUGGAGCCCAUAGAUUUAAUAAAUUCUCCAAUUUAAUUUGAGGCCCAAAUCCUUUAAAAUUACAAAGGCCCAAAUCCUUACUCCCACCUUCUCCUUCAUCCCUCACUCACGUCUAUCUCUUCCUCACUCUCUAUCUCGAUUUCUCUCUCGUCCCAAAUCGGAACAGAUCCUCCAUCUGCCGUCGCCUCCUCCGAUUCACCGGCUGCUCCAUCAUCGCUUCCCGGACGCGUCGACCACCACGCCGGGGACCACCGCUCGCCGGGAGAACUGGUGCUGCUGUCGUGCCGCUGCUCCGUCGCCACCGGGCAAAGCUGCUGCUGGCUGUGUCGUCUACACAACCGUCCAGCCGAGCCGCCGUUCCUCCGUCGCACCGUAGGCAUCGUUGCCGUCGGCAGGCGCUGCACAGAGCGUCGCUCAGCGCCUCAGUCACCGCCGCCGUCAGACGCCACUGCGGUCAUCGCUCCCGGCGUUUAGUCGUUGCACCACCAAACUCCACCAGAGCCGUCGGUCAGUCUCUGCCACUCCGUUGCCCCGAUUGAUCCCGAUACAGCCCCGACGCCUCCGAUACCAACCCGAUUCAUUAAAGAUUAUGGAGGAUGAAUAUCUCAUUACGGAGGAUGAAGAUAUCUGUAGGAUCUUUAUUUAGUAAUUGAAUUAAUAUCAAGGAGAAUCUUUAAUUCACGGUCCAUUGUAUUUUAUUUUAAAUUGUGUAGUACAUAAUUUAUUUAUCACGGACUGGACCUUUAUAUUAUUGUCCAAUUAUUCGA